GCAUACUCUAGAUCCCCAUUCAUCAUAUUAUAAUUAAUAAAAUUACUACCAAAUCCUAAUAAAAUAAAUUUUACAAAUUUAAGCUCAUUAAUGUAACCCAUCUCUUCUUUUAAAAGCUGCACCUUGAUUUGAUCUAAAAUAAAAUUUUAAUUAAAGAAAAUUAUAAUUCUCCAGAAAUAUUCAUUUCAACAACGAUAUACAAGCAAUAUAAAAGUCAAAUAAAUUGUGGAUUAUCAAUUAUAGGACAGGUUCCUCUGGUGGGUUUGAGUACCGCCAAGAUAUUUAAUUUUCAAGAACUUAACUAAUACUAAUCCGGUUUUAAUGACUACGAUAUUAAUAACAGGGUAUCUAAUCCUGGUUUAUAAUAAUAUUUUUCUAGAUCAUUUAAUAAUACAUUAUUAACUUAUAUAUAUUAAAAUUUCACCUAUCAAUAUAACUAUUUCAAAUCAUCAAUCAAUUAACUAAAACCAUAAAAAUUAAGUAGCACCUUCUGUAUAACCGCA
rnacentral:rRNA from 1 species